GGUGUGCCUCGGCUGCCACCUCCUGGUGACUAAUUCUAGUGGACGUGGAGAGCGAACCACAGCCUCAACAACACCUAAUUCUAAUUACAGCUGGUGAUCGGGACUCCGAGCCCUGUAUUUCUCCGUCUGACUCAGCUCCUAGACCACACGGGAGCCUCUGCUCUUUUCCCGACAUCUCCGGAUUUCAGCAUCUGGCUCAGCUUCCUGGUCAUCGGUACCUGCACCAUCAUCUGUCCACACAUCUGCAGCUUUCAGUUCCUCCUAGAUGCCCGGCUAACCCCCAACCCACAAGAUUCUACACCCGCUCGAAUCUAGGCACUUUUACUGCCACUUAACUAUGGCCACGCACUCUGUGAUCCCAUAUGAAC
rnacentral:lncRNA from 1 species